UUAUUCCCAACAGUCAUUCCUCAUGUUAACAAGCUAAUCAUUUUAAUUUGCACAGUCUAAAUACACUCACGCGAUGUUUAAAACUCAUCAUGACUGCCAUAAUGAUUCUCUCCGAACUUACAAUUUACAAAUACGUUUGUAAUCUGGCCAAAUAAUAAUCUGUAGUUCGACUUAUGACUUUGAAAGUUUGUGUAGGGACUACGUUGAGGGGAAAAACAAUAAAAAAUAAAAACAGAUCUCCGCAAAAUUAGUGUUGUUAGAUAUCAAACUAUAUAGCCGUAUCUUUUAUAACUUUUAUAUAGUAGGAAUGGCGGAACGACAUUAAUAUUUAACAAAAUGAGCGGAAAAGUUUUUUUUAAUCGUACGUCAAGCGACAGCCGUGAGUGAUUUUUUCCGUUAUCCCUAUUAGCAUAUUUUAACCCCAAAUUUAAAGAUAUAACCAUUUAAACAAAACAACAUAUGUUAAACUAUUAAUCUAUGUUAACAUAUGAAAAUAUUCAAAUUGAAAAAGGGGAGUUUAUUAGAAUCAACAUUCAUUGUGGAACCAACGUAAUAAUGGCAUAUGGGACCAAUGAAGUUCAGAUAACGAUUCUUCUUAAAUAUUCGAUAACAUUUCUUUAGAAAAUUAUUUAGCAGCUAUUGCGAAAUUUAUUAAUUUUUUUGUCAUUGAAUUAUUUUUUGGACUGUUACUCACACUUUCUGUUUAAAGCAAAAAUUAUAGGUUAAUAAGAUCUGAUUUUAAUUGGUGCACACAAGGUGUCGAAACGCUUUAAAUACUGGAUACCAUUUCCUUUUUGGUAAAAGCAUUCCAAGGGAAAUCAGUUAUCUGUUGGAAAAUGGAUCAGCUAAAGCUUGUUGGAUUUUGUUGCGUGUUGUUGAUUCUAAAUGUUGAAGGAGCGAUUUCUUCUUGCGAUGACUUGUUAAAGACAUACCUUGAGUUAACUGGUAAGAACUCUUUGAAAUCUAAUGUUUUAAAAGUAUUUGUCCAAUGGCUGACUAAACAAGUAGCAGGCUAAUGCAUUGUUAAUGAGUUUUCAGUCUUUCAAUUCCAAUACUUUGCAGUUCAGAACACAAGAAAUCGUUAUUGCACAUAACCGUUCAUGUUGAGAAAUCCUGCUAGCAUUGUUGGAUGGACUAGAAUAUGGCACGUGUCGUGUAAUCUUACGAGAAAAAACAAUAAAUAAGCGAAGAAAUUUUAAAUAAAUGUCAACAGGAAAUUACAAAUAAAAUAUUAGCUUUUAUAAAUUUUUCUUCGAGAAACACCAUUAUAAUUUGAUCACUUAGGAAUGAUUAGGGUCAAUAUGACAAAAUAAGGUUAAUGUAAAUACACCUUUUCCGAAUUUAUUUUCUUUGAUGUGCCGCAGCUCUUUCUCAACCUUUUUAAAAAAAAU